rnacentral:rRNA from 1 species
GACGAACGCUGGCGGCGCGCCUAACACAUGCAAGUCGAACGAGCGAGAGAGAGCUUGCUUUCUUGAGCGAGUGGCGAACGGGUGAGUAACGCGUGAGGAACCUGCCUCAAAGAGGGGGACAACAGUUGGAAACGACUGCUAAUACCGCAUAAGCCCACGGUGCCGCAUGGCACAGAGGGAAAAGGAGCAAUCCGCUUUGAGAUGGCCUCGCGUCCGAUUAGCUAGUUGGUGAGGUAACGGCCCACCAAGGCGACGAUCGGUAGCCGGACUGAGAGGUUGAACGGCCACAUUGAGACUGAGACACGGCCCAGACUCCUACGGGAGGCAGCAGUGGGGAAUAUUGCACAAUGGGGGAAGCCCUGAUGCAGCGACGCCGCGUGGAGGAAGAAGGUCUUCGGAUUGUAAACUCCUGUUGUUGGGGAAGAUAAUGACGGUACCCAACAAGGAAGUGACGGCUAACUACGUG